rnacentral:RNase_P_RNA from 1 species
GAGGAAAGUCCGGGCUCCACAGAGAAUGAUGCCGGGUAAUGCCCGGGCCUGUUCAGACUCUCUGCAUUGCAGUUUGUUAAGCAGGACAGAUAGUGCCACAGAAAUAAACCGCCUGGUUUAAAAUCUUGGAUUUUCAGUCAGGUAAGGGUGAAAAGGCGAGGUAAGAGCUCACCGGUCAACCGGUAACGGAUGAUGCAAGGUAAACCUCAUCAGGAGCAAAGUCAAAUAGGUAGGAGGGUUUCUCGUCCAUAUCCUACGGGUAGAUUGCUAAAAGCUUUCAGCAAUGGUAGUUUUAGAUAGAUGGUAAUCCUAGACAGAACCCGGCUUAC